UACGAAGGGGGCUAGCGUUGCUCGGAAUCACUGGGCGUAAAGCGCACGUAGGCGGCUUGUUAAGUCAGGGGUGAAGUCCUGGAGCUCAACUCCAGAACUGCCUUUGAUACUGGCAAGCUUGGAGUCCGGGAGAGGUGAGUGGAACUGCGAGUGUAGAGGUGAAAUUCGUAGAUAUUCGCAAGAACACCAGUGGCGAAGGCGGCUCACUGGCCCGGUACUGACGCUGAGGUGCGAAAGCGUGGGGAGCAAACAGG
rnacentral:rRNA from 1 species